rnacentral:lncRNA from 1 species
AUUCAAACAAAAAAACUUUAGAUCUAUUCGUUUUUUAUCUUUUUACUACAAACCCAGUUCAAAAAUCAAACAAAUACAUCAUAUAUACCUCAUAAACACAACAAUCAGAGGUUGGAAAAAUUAAAGAAAAGAGUUACCUGAACUGCAGCGAGUUCCACGAGUCAGAAAACCUUCUCUUGCUACUGGCUUUUUGUGGUUUGGGUAAAGUUGUUGUUUAUGGAGGCAGUGGCUAUAGGGUUAGGGUUUUUUUUAUUUCUGGUUGUUGUAUAGCUUUUAUUUUUCACGGUGAUUUUUCUCUUUUCUCACUGUCCUCCCUUUUCUGUGUAGGACUUGGGUUAUUUAUAGGUAAAGAUUAGGGUUAGAGAUUGAUUCUUGAUUGUUUUAUUUUCAGCAUGAAUCUGUCUAAUUGAUUUAGGGACAAAGCUUGUAUAAAGUGGCUGAUUGUUUAUUUUAGGAAUAAAUCUACGUGAUUGAGAUUUGCCGGCAAAAAUUUUCCCUUUCUUUGUUUUUUCCUUUUUAUUCGUUAUUAUUAUUUUUUUUAUAAUAUUCACGUGAAAAAUAAAAGAAACUAAAUAAUUUUAAAGAUAUAACAACAAAAAAAUAAAAAUAAAUAAAAAACAAAUGCUGCUACAAAUAAAAGAAAAAUAUCAAAAAUACACAAAGUGUGUUUCAAACCCAUGACCUUGCACUCACGACUGCCUAAAUACCCCCUUCAUUACCACACGAACUGAUAGUACCCUUUGCGAGAGAAUUGUAUCGAAAAUAAUAUAACACGGAAACAAAUGUCAAAAUUUGGGGUAUGACACCUGUUACGGACAAUGUUUGAACGGCAACUAAGCACUCUACUCCACAUCUAGGGUCCAUAGUGGUUUCAGGUCGAAGGG